rnacentral:tmRNA from 1 species
GGGGGCGACCUGGUUUCGACGUGGGUUGCGAACCCCUUCGUGCAUGCCGAGGUGCAGGUAACCUCGUUAAACCACUUGCAAACCUUAUAGUUGCCAACGACGACAACUACGCUCUCGCCGCCUAAAAACCGGCUCUGAGCCAUCGGACUGGGCCCGUGCCUGUGCGGACCAGACCCCGGUGUAACCCAGCACAGGAUCGCGUGCGGGCCUGUCCGGGGUCCAAUCGUUAAAGACCACCUUCGGACUGGCUGUCAGUCUUCCCUGCCCGUCGGGUAGCUGCCAGCAAGAUCAAAGACGGGAUAAGCAUGUAGAGCGCAGGGCAGAGGACUUGCGGACGCGGGUUCGAUUCCCGCCGCCUCCACCA